GAACACCUUAAGCUCUUGAUCAAGUCCAGCUAACACUGAUUCAUAGAAAAUGUUUCUGUGAAAUUCAUCAAAGAAACCGUGCGUUUGUAAAGGUAUAAAACCAAGUAACGUAUCAAUUAUAGGAUGAUGUUUGGAGGAGAUAUAUAAUAUAUGAUCGCUCACAAUUAGAAAGAGAUCUGCAGGACUAGUAAACGAAUUAGUGAGUGAGAUAUCCAUUGCAACAAAAGGAAGGGAUGGUCGAAUUGCAGGGAAAAAGAAAGAGAGUGAAAAUGAACGUUGUCUACCC
rnacentral:lncRNA from 1 species